UACGUAGGGUGCAAGCGUUGUCCGGAAUUAUUGGGCGUAAAGAGCUCGUAGGCGGUCUGUCGCGUCGAAUGUGAAAACCCGGGGCUCAACCCCGGGCCUGCAUUCGAUACGGGCAGACUAGAGUUCGGUAGGGGAGUCUGGAAUUCCUGGUGUAGCGGUGAAAUGCGCAGAUAUCAGGAGGAACACCGGUGGCGAAGGCGGGUCUCUGGGCCGAAAUUGACGCUGAGGAGCGAAAGCGUGGGGAGCAAACAGG
rnacentral:rRNA from 1 species